rnacentral:rRNA from 1 species
UAGCGUUGUUCGGAAUUACUGGGCGUAAAGCGUGCGCAGGCGGCUAUCCAAGUCAGUGGUGAAAGCCCGGAGCUCAACUCCGGAACUGCCAUUGAAACUGUUUAGCUCGAGUACGAGAGAGGUGAGUGGAAUUCCCAGUGUAGAGGUGAAAUUCGUAGAUAUUGGGAAGAACACCGGUGGCGAAGGCGGCUCACUGGCUCGUAACUGACGCUCAUGCACGACAGCGUGGGGAUCAAACAGG